UCCGGGCUGGCCGAGGACGAGGUGCUGCGGCUCGCGGCCGCCGCCGAGCACCCCAGCGAGCAUCCGCUGGCCCGUGCC
rnacentral:tRNA from 1 species